rnacentral:tRNA from 1 species
AGGUCAGCGGCAGUGACCGACGCCGACCGACAGGAGUCUUGAUCUUUGCAAGGCAGGGGUUAGGGGUUCGAGUCCCCUGGGCUCCACCA